AUUUUAUCAACUACCUUGAUUUUAUCAAAGUGAAGUUGGAUUAUGAAGGUUUUAAUGCAGGUUUUGCCUGCUCCUUUAAAAUAUAUUAUCUUGGGGGUAAAUCUCAUCAAUGUGAUAAAUUUACAACAUUGUUGAUUUUUAUAUACUCAAGUUUUCAUAUAAUUAAA
rnacentral:misc_RNA from 1 species